rnacentral:lncRNA from 1 species
CGGCCGGAAGCGGCUAAAACUACUCCUGCCUGCAUACCCCGCAGGAGCAAAGCGCGCCAUGUCUCCCUCCAGGGAUCCGCACCGCUCACAAUCCUGUUAAGUGCUGGGAUUGUAGUCCUGCGAGCCUACGACUAAUAGCUGGAUUAACUCUUAAGUACUCCACAACUACACGCUUUUGAAACUGGCGUUGGCAUAGCGUUAGUUCUGUGCAGGGCGGACGCAGCAGGACAGAAUCUCCCUGGGCAUCUUUUCGGAGCAUCAAUUUUACUGCAAAAUUUUGAAAAAACAAAUUUAAUUGAUUUCCAAGGAAUGCAGAAAUAAGGAGGGACAGCUCUACCUAUGUUUGGAGCCCAUGAAUGUGUCAUCUUGCUGUGUUUGUAAAUAGAAAUUUAUUUCACAAAAUGACUCAACUGCGUCUUCACUAACAUGUUCAAAGACUUGCAAGAAGCAGCCAGGCAUGGUGGCUCACACCUGUAAUCCCAGCACUUUGGGAGACCCAGGCAGGAAGAUCACCUGAGGUUGGGAGUUCGAGACUAGCCUGACCAACAUGGAGAAGAAUCGUGUCUACUAAAAAUACAAAAUUAGCCAGGCACGGUGGCGCAUGCCUGUAGUCUCAGCUACCUGGGAGGCUGAGGCAGGAGAAUUGCUUGAACCCAAGAGGUGGAGGUUGUGGUGAGCCGAGAUCGCACCAUUGCACUCCAGCCUGGGCAACAAGAGCAAAAUUCCGUCUCAAAAAAAAAAAAGAGAGAGAGAGAGAGAAAAGAAAAGAAAAACACUUGCAAGAAGCAAAACAAGAAUUGAGAAAGGGGAAAGAUGAUAUCUGAGAGUUGGAAGGUUGCACAUUUUCACAGAAAAGUAGAACGGAAUUGUAACAAGCACUCUGAUAGGAAAUCACAGUUUAUGUCUCGCAACUGUCCCUAAAAAAAUACAAUGGUUGGCAGAAAAGACAAGAAAUGAGAUAGACUAUAAAUUAACUGGAGAAGAGAAAAAAAUAAUUCCCAGAAGUAAAUUGUCAACGAGUUUGAAAGCAGGUAAAAGGUUUGUCAAGGAGGACAGAAACUCAGAGCACCCUGCACUUGGGGAUCGGCACUAGGAGCUGCUCUCUGGAUGGGGAGAUGGGAGCUAGCAGCUCACAAUGGGGUCACAAGACAGGAGUGUUAUUGGGAUAAUCCUGUUUUGUUGACAAAUACUGAGAUCAUCCAACUCACCAGGCAAAGUUGACUUGUGUAAGUGAUCUUCAGAUACGAAAAGUGUGGAACCCAGCUGCUCCUCCUCAGAUAGGCGACAUGACAAUUGUAGGCCUGGAGGGAGAUGAGUUGACAACAUCCCUUCCCUAUAACCACUUGUUGGAUCUGAUCUCACAUACACAGACUCACUCCAAAGACUGACCUGGGUGUCUGCUUCUCAGCUUCAUUAACAGUGGGUGCUCACAAGUCUAG